rnacentral:rRNA from 1 species
ACGGGAGGCAGCAGUGAGGAAUAUUGGUCAAUGGACGGAAGUCUGAACCAGCCAAGUCGCGUGAAGGAAGACGGUUCUAUGGAUUGUAAACUUCUUUUGCCUGAGGGUAAAGUGAGGGACGUGUCCCUUAUUGCAAGUAUCAGGUGAAUAAGCAUCGGCUAAUUCCGUGCCAGCAGCCGCGGUAAUACGGAAGAUGCGAGCGUUAUCCGGAUUUAUUGGGUUUAAAGGGAGCGUAGGCGGCCUUUUAAGUCAGCGGUCAAAUGUCAGCGCCCAACGCUGGCCUGCCGUUGAUACUGAUGGGCUUGAAUACACACAAGGAAGGUGGAAUUCGUCGUGUAGCGGUGAAAUGCUUAGAUAUGACGAAGAACUCCGAUUGCGAAGGCAGCCUUCUGGAGUGCGAUUGACGCUGAGGCUCGAAAGCGCGGGUAUCAAACAGGAUUAGAUACCCUGGUA